GCGCGCAUAGCUCAAUUGGUAGAGCUCCAAGCUUAUACMUUGGCGGUUUCUUGGUUCAAGUCCAAGUGCGCGCACAA
rnacentral:tRNA from 1 species